rnacentral:rRNA from 1 species
CACGUAGUUGGCCGGGGCUUCUUCUGCAGGUACCGUCACAAUCGUCCCUGCUGAAAGAGGUUUACAACCCGAAAGCCUUCAUCCCUCACGCGGCGUUGCUGCGUCAGGCUUUCGCCCAUUGCGCAAUAUUCCCCGCUGCUGCCUCCCGUAGGAGUCUGGGCCGUGUCUCAGUCCCAGUGUGGCUGACCGUCCUCUCAGACCAGCUACCCGUCGACGCCUUGGUGGGCCGUUACCCCACCAACAAGCUGAUAGGCCGCGAGGCCGUCCCGGAGCGGAAUCCAUUUCGUCGGAAGAACAUGCGAUCCUCCGACGACAUCCGGUAUUAGCUCUCCUUUCGGAGGGUUAUCCCGGUCUCCGGGGUGGGUUCCUCGCGUGUUACUCACCCGUUCGCCACUCGGUCUUCACCAGCAAGCUGGAUGGACCUCGUUCGACUUGCAUGCGUUAAGCACGCCGCCAGCGUUCGUCCUGAGCCAGGAUCAAACUCU